CCGGUUGCGCCGUACUGCCUCGACGAAACACGGCCCGAAUCCAUCGACAUCUUUCUCUUUACUCGGCGGCGGGAUGCUCAGGAAAUGGUAAAUCUUUCACCGUAAUGUUUAUGAGAUCUAUGAGGCUCAAAAAGGUUGAGUGUUUGAAGAUGGUCAAGGA